rnacentral:lncRNA from 1 species
UCACGACAGCUUUUUCUCAAAGUGUAAAUAAUGAAGAAUCGGGGAUGUUGAUGAAAUAAAUAUGUAUUGUGAUUGCCGAUACAUAUCACCUUGUAAAGGUGCUUGGAGAAUUUUUAAAUUCCCAAUACACCAUAGAGAACCACCUGUAGAAGGCUACUUUUCACCUACCAAAUAAUCAGACGGUCAUAUUUUCGGAUGAUGAUCCAAUUGAUGCAGCUGUCAAUAGACCAACCAUUAAGGAAUCUAUGUUUUUAAGCUGGUUUGAAGCUAAUAAGACUUUUGAUGAAACACGAGAAUUGACUUAUGCAGAAUUCCAUCUAAAGUUUGUUUGGAAACAAAACCUAUAAAAUGGGAAAAAAGAAGAACUUCUGCAUUUUCUAUUGGGAGAAUAUUCUUUGUUCCACCUUCCUUUGGCGAGCAAUAUUACCUUAGAUUGUUGUUGAAUGUAGUUAAAGGUCCAAAAAGCUAUGAUGAUUUUAAAAAAAUCAACGGUUCUGAUCAUGAGACAUUUAGAGAUGCAUGUUAUGCAUAUGCUUUGGGUUUAUUAGAUGAUGAUAAGGAAUGUGUGGAUGCUAUAAUGGAAGCAAGUAAUUGGGGAAUGGCAUCAUAUCUUAGGCAAUUAUUUGCUAUGCUACUUUUAUCAAAUUCAAUGUCACGUCCAGAAAGUGUUUGGCAAGCAACAUGACAUUUACUAGAAGAUAUCCUUUAUGAAGAAAGAAGAAUCUUGGAUCACCCGGAUAUGUAUUUAAUGGUUAAAGUUUCCAGUUAUGAUAUGACAAUUCUGUAUAAUGGCUGAUUAGCUUAACUUUGUUACUUAGAUUUAUUUUUAAUUACUUAAUUCAUAUUAACCUGAUUGUUCAUUUAUUUAUUCUAUUUGGUUUUUCAACUUCAUACAAAAUUCACUCCACAACUUAAUGUUUGUUAAACAAUAUUUUCUUAUUUUCAUAUCUUUUUAAUAUAAUGUUGUGUUUAUACCAUAACAAUAAUAUUGGUACUAAUUAAUGCAUUUUUCAGACGUAAAAAAGUAAUAGAAAAUUAAUGCAUUGUGUUUAAUGCCCUAAAACUUUGGGAAAGGCUGUAAUCACUUUUAUGCAUUCUGUAUUUUAUUUGAACAAAUUGCAAUUCUUUUUUUAGGAUAGCAAAUACUGCUUUUUAUUUAUAGGUGCAUAAAAUUAAUAAUAAUUUACAAAUUAAAAAACCACAUGGUUUGAACUAUAUAAUACAGAAUAAUUGUAUUUAAUUAUUUUACAUUCUAAUGUUUUUUAGAAGCUCACCUAACAGAUGAAGAAUUGAAAAUUCGUUGUUUGCAAAAGCUUGAAACUUUUUUGAAAGGUUGUGGAAGAAGUUUUCUGGAUUUUCCAACAAUGCCAAGGCCUGUUUAUAAUACGGAAGAAGUUGAUAACAAUAAUAGAUUAAUACGGGAUGAAUUGCGUUAUAAUAAACCUGCUUUGGAAGAGGAACAUGAACAAUUAGUAAAGAAUUUGACAGAUGAGCAAAAGUCAGUUUAUGAAAAUAAUAAGAGAUGUGAAUGAGGACAAAGGUGGAUUUUUCUUUAUAUAUGGUUUUGGAGGAAUGGGCAAGACUUUUAUUUGGAGAACUCUAUCUUCUGCGGAAAAGAAGUCCCGAUGCCCCGGUGAGGAGCUGCGAGCGGCUGGAGAUUGUUGGCGGUCAGCGAGGCAGAGGGAGACCUAAGAAAUAUUGGGGAGAGGUGAUUAGGCAGGACAUGACUAGAAUGCAGGUUUCUGUUGUUGAGGGCGGAGCUUGNNNNNNNNNNNNNNNNNNNNNNNNNNNNNNNNNNNNNNNNNNNNNNNNNNNNNNNNNNNNNNNNNNNNNNNNNNNNNNNNNNNNNNNNNNNNNNNNNNNNNNNNNNNNNNNNNNNNNNNNNNNNNNNNNNNNNNNNNNNNNNNNNNNNNNNNNNNNNNNNNNNNNNNNNNNNNNNNNNNNNNNNNNNNNNNNNNNNNNNNNNNNNNNNNNNNNNNNNNNNNNNNNNNNNNNNNNNNNNNNNNNNNNNNNNNNNNNNNNNNNNNNNNNNNNNNNNNNNNNNNNNNNNNNNNNNNNNNNNNNNNNNNNNNNNNNNNNNNNNNNNNNNNNNNNNNNNNNNNNNNNNNNNNNNNNNNNNNGCCCUUUCGGGUAGGGGUAAGGCUUGUCUACAUAUUACCCUCCCCAGACCCCACCUGGUGGGAGUAUACUGGGUAGUUGUUGUUGUUGUUGUUGUAUCUUCUGCCAUAAGAUCUAGAGGAGAUAUUGUCUUAACUGUUGCAUCUAGCGAGAUUGCAUCUUUUUUGUUACCAGGUGGUCGAACAACUCAUUCAAGAUUUGUGAUUCCUCUAAAUGUAACUGAUGAUUUAACAUGUAAUAUAAAGCAAGGUACUCCUUUAGCAAAUUUAAUUAUUAAGGCAAAGUUGAUUAUCUGGGAUGAGGCACCCAUGAUGCAUAGAUAUUGUUUUGAAGCUCUUGAUAAAACUUUAAGAGAUAUUCUUAGGUUUAAAGAUGCAUCCAAUUUACACCAACCAUUUGGAGGUAAAACAAUAUUCAGAGAUAUUUUUAGGUUUAAAGAUGCAUCCAAUUUACACCGACCAUUUGGAGGUAAAACAAUUGUUCUUGGUUGUGACUUCAAACAAAUAUUACCUGUUGUUCCAAAAGGUAGUAGGCAAGAUAUUGUUAAUGCUUCUCUUAAUUCUUAUUAUUUAUGGCCUCACUCUCAACUGCUAAAGUUAACAAAGAACAUGAGAUUGCAAGGUAAUGAAAUAGGGACACAUCUAGAUGAGUUGAGAGUUUUUUCAGAUUGGAUUUUGGCAAUUGGCGAUGGUAUAGUUGGUACUUCUGUUGAUGGCAAUGAAAACGUCCAAAUACCAGAUGAUCUUUUGAUAAAACAAUCCGUUGAUCCAACAUCUGCAAUUGUAGAAAGUACGUAUCAGAAUUUCAACCGUCCAAAUACCAGAUAAUCUUUUGAUAAAACAAUCCGUUGAUCCAACAUCUGCAAUUGUAGAAAGUACGUAUCAGAAUUUCAACAGUCGUUGCAAUGAUAUAGGAUACCUACAACAAGAGUCAUUCUUACUCCAACUCUUGAUAUGGUUGAAUCAAUCAACGAAUAUAUGAUUUCCCUUAAUGAAAGUUCUGAGAAAUUAUAUUUGAGUUCCGAUACAAUCUGCAACUCUGACAGUACUUAUUCAACACUGGAACAUGUACACACUCCUGAAUUUUUAAAUACAAUUAAAUGUUCUGGAGUUCAAAAUCAUGCUCUUACGCUAAAGGUUGGUAUUCCAGUAAUGUUAUUAAGAAAUAUUGGUCAGUCAGCAGGAUUAUGUAAUGGAACAAGGUUGAUCAUAACUAAACUUGGAAAUCAAGUUAUUGAAGCAAAGGUUUUAGCGGGACAGAUGGCUGGACAGAAAGUUUUUAUUCCAAGAAUGACAUUGACACCAUCUGAUGCUAGAAUUCAAUUCAAGUUCCAGCGAAGACAAUUUCCAAUAAUUGUAUCUUUUGCCAUGACAAUCAACAAAAGCCAAGGACAGUCAUUGUCUCACGUGGGACUAUUUUUAAAAAAAACCAGUGUUUACACAUGGACAGCUAUAUGUUGCUCUUUCUCACGUGACGAGUAGAAAAGGAUUAAAAAUAUUGGUUUGUGAUGACGACGGGAAUAUAACUACUGAAGCUACAAUGUUGUAUUUAAAGAAGUUUUUCGAAAUUUAGUCUGACACUCAAAAGAUAAUCAAUAUCUUUUUUGAGCUUUAAGUACAACUUUUGUUACUGGGAUUCAUUAACCAAGUGCGGCAAUAGAUGUUGACAACAUAUUUGAAGCAUGUAAUAGGUACGCUUUACUUUUCUGCUCUUUUUUAUAUAUUUAACUACAAUAGAUGUUGACGACAUAUCUGAAGCAUGUAAUAGGUACGCUUUACUUUUCUGCUCUUUUCUUAUAUAUUUAUCUAUUUCUCUAUUAUGUAUAUAAAUUAACUUUUUAAAAAAUAUAACAAAUAUAAAUAUGUCAUGAUUUGCCAUAAUAUGGAUUAACAGACUUCUUACAUUGCAUUUUUUAAGAAGCAAUGAAUUUCAUAUACGAAUUUGGUUAUAAUAUGCUAAUUCAUCAACUAGACAUUGUGAAAUUUCAUCAAAUGUAAUUGGAUUAAAUAAACUUAUGGAUGUUUCAGUGUACUGGUAAUUGGUCUACUAAUUUUAUGGUUUGAAAUAUAGUUAGUGUGAUAAGCAUCCACUUUUUUACAAAUUAAUCACCUUUAUGGUUGGUUAUCAUAGCAGAUUCAUUGGAAUGAAGGGAGUAACUUCGUGUCCAGUUGACUAUCAUGUUACUUGCACUUCCAGAAGUGAAUUCCUUUUGUCUUUCUGUGUGUGUGUGAGAGAGGAGAAUAACUAUAAACAUAUUAAAGUUUUACGGCUUUGAACUGAUUCACAUAAAUGAGAGUGAGUUGUGCAGAUACCAAUUAAAUGGUUUUUGCAAACGGGUAGUUACAGGGAUUGCUUUGCCAUCAGGCUCGGAUAAGCUUUAUUCAGGGAGUACGGACAAGAUAGUAAGAGAGUGGGAUUGUCAAUCUGGACAGGUUCUCCUCAUUCAUUUCCAUUUCAGUUUUUGAAGUUAUAAACACGAAAACUGGUAUAGGAAAAAUGUCUUUGACACUUGAAAUCUUCAUACUGUAUAAAAUUCACUGGGAAAACUAGGAAAUAACGUUACUGACACGUCUCUGCUUCUUUCCCUGCUAGCUGCACUAAGCACUUUUCUCGAUUACUUUUUCUGCAUAUAAUGUAUUAAUUGAAUUUCUCUUGCUCUGACAGGUCAGAUAAGUUCAAUACCUAUCCUUGAUGAUGAUGGAGCCCUUAUAAAUGUGUGUACUAUCGGAGGUAAUUCAUGCGCUUCUGAAAUUAAUUGCUUGAGAUUUUUCAUAUUCAGCAUCAUUAAAUUAACGCGUAUUUCAGUAGAAUAUGUAACUUUCUUUCUAUAAUAUAUAUAAAUGAACUAUCUGAAUAUGUAUAAACCAUAUUAGCACCAUAUAUUUUAUGUUCUUUGUCUUCGCAUGUGUAAUAAAUACUGUGUAUGAUCACUUAUUCGUUUUAAUAUCCGAAAUUGCAAAAAUGUGUAGACACUUAUUCACUAAUUUUGGAUGUGUAUAAUUGUUUUGUGACUUGGUAAGUAUAUGUUUAAUUGCAGAAAAGCAGAGUUUGUGCAAAUAGUUCGACAUUUAUUGACUUGGUAAGUAUAUGUUUAAGUGCAGAAAAGCAGAGUUUGUGCAUAUAGUUCAACCUCUAAGCUUUAGUUCUCGACAGCAACCACAAAAUACAAGGGAGCGGCGAUGCAGUUUUAAGUGAUUUUUUUAUAUGCAUAAUCUUUAUUUGUUUCCGUGGUGGUUCGAUGCACUUUAACGGUGGUUUUAAUGGACCCUUAGAGAUGAUUCAUGGCUGGUGUGGAGCAACUUGGCAAACCUGUGAUGUAUAUACUACUUUUUGGUAUUCUGUGAGUAAAAUAAAUUCUAUAUAUCUUAUCUCUUGAUUGCCUAAAAUUUGACUCUCCUGCCAAAAUGCUAGAAUGGGGAAUCUUUCACCUUUAACAUUAGUUUCAUGGAGUAUAUCCAUAAAUUUGAUGCUGAAGGUUAUGUCUGUGUAAUCUGUAGUUUGAUGCCUCCAGCCUGGUUGAUGAAUCAUCCAGUUGAAACGUUUAAAGAACAAGUCAUGCUAUGAAGCACAGGUGGCAAUUUCCAAACAAGCUGUUAGUCUACUAUGAACUUAGUGUUAAUUUCCUUCUUAGGAAGUACCUAUCAGAAGAAAAAAGAAGUUCCCUUUGUGGGAAGUUGCUGAAUGGUUAUGUUCAGUUGCCCAAAAUUUGAACUUAUGAUGCGUUACUUACUCCUGCCACAAGGAAGCUGCUAAGUUGACUAACAUAGGUAAGUUAUUCGAGCGCCGAGGAAACGAGUUAUUAGGAUCAAGUUAUAAGGAUCCCAUUUGAAGCUUUUUUGAUUUUCAAGAAUUUUCAGUCUCAAACUUGGAGGUACUUUUAUCUUUUGGCUUUUGCUACUUGCAACUUUAAUUUCUUAUUUGUGAAUGAGUAAAUUUGGAUGCCUGUUCUCCUUUCUUUUUUACUGGGAAUUCUUCCUUAUCAAAAUAUCUUUGUAGUUCUACUGGAAGAUCAUACUGGAGAGAUCAUUGGAGCUAUAAUAGACACCACUGUCCGAAAGCAAACAAGAGUGACGUUACUGUUGUCAUUUCCCACUCUGUGCAAAAGGAGUAUGCCUUAUUCCUGAUGAAGACCCUUGGGAAUCACAUGUAAAUACCGAGUGUGAUCCAUCAAACUACGAAAAAGCCACAAAGAAAAGAAAAUGACCUGUACCUUGCUGCAGAUACAAAUUGACACAGAACUAGAAAAUGUUGUAAGAAAAGUUCAGGUAGACAUAGGCAUAGUAUCAGUAAAGGAUAGAACAAAACUGAGAGUAUAAUAUGGAAUAGUACUAUACAGGAUUUGAAGAAGAUGGGAAUCAGUAAGAGAUUAAACAAGGUUUAUAAUAUCAUCAAAUUGUUUGGGCAACAUAAGCAGAGAGGUAGCCUACAUUUACUAUGGAUAACCUGAAUGUGGAUAUAGAAACCAACUGAUGACUGGAAAAUCCUACCACUGUCCUGCCUGAAUACACUGAUAAAGUACAUUCAAUGGCAAAAUCCUAUCAAUUUGGCUCAUUGUUUGGUGUCAAAAUCUUUUCUACCUGCCUUAUAUGUAAUCUUUUCAGUUCAUUUUGUGCACUUCACGUACAAGCAGAACAUUUCUGUUUAGCUUUGUAUAGCUAAUCAGAUAUAAAAGCAGCUAUAACAUCUACAGAAUAGACAAAUCAGAAUGGGGAGUAAAUGUUAUCCUGACGAACUAUUAUCCAUAGCAUACGGUUUCCACAACAUAUGUUCUGGUCAGUCGUCCCUUAAAUGUACUUACCACAUUCUGGGUAGAGAGCUGAAUAACAGAGCUGCCAGCAACUACAAUUUUGCAAAGGAUGAACUCAAAAACAUUCUGCAAAUUCCUAUCAGCUGCAUCAUCUACCUGAUCUUUCUAUGCUGCUCGGAUCAGGUUAUUUUUCUAUACUACUCGGACAGAAACAUAUGAGACGACCAUGUCCAUCUGUGUAUUUUGCUACUCAAUAGGUCCAAUCGUAUUAUAAGUAUACGAUAUGACAAGUUUGUUGCAAACUCUGUAAUGUGCUUUCGUUAUGUACGCGUCAUUCUGGUAAUAGUGAAAGUGCACCGAGUUAUAUACGUUACGUUAUGAAUAUUUCAACCUGUGCUUUAGUUAUGUACGCGUAUUCGGUCUCGGGAGUCAUUCGGGGGCGAUUCGGAGUGUUUUUUUUUAGAGAAACAUUAGUCUUACACUCAAAUUUUUUGGUCAGAUUUUCUUGAAACCUUUUUAACUUAACACCUGAAGACUACCUGAUCCCCCUCCUUCAUUCUUGGAACACCUAAAAUAAAACCCUUCACCCAAAAACAUCACAGCCGCCAUUACACCAUCGACCACCUGAUACCCAGCCGCCCCAUCCAUUCAGGCCACCAAACGUCCCCAGCUCGAGCAGCAGCAGAAAAACGAGUUGCUGCCUCACUUUCCCUUCGUCGAUCAGCUCGAGCAGUAGCAAGCAACAAGCUGCUGUUGCUUCAUUUUCCGUUCAGCUCGAGCAGCAGCAAGCAACGAGCUGCUGCUUCGUUUUCAUCGUCUUCUCUUCAUCGUCCAGCUGAGCAGCAACGUCAAGCAUCCGCUGCUGUUGGUUCACCAUUUCUACGCUGCUCGAACCAGCCCUUCUCCCUCUCUUGUAACACACACAGCUGGUCGGAAAAUUUCAGUGAUAAAUAGUGACAGUGUGCGUGAGUUUUCCGGUCAUCGAGCCGUCAAGGUCGUCAUUGUUCGUCGAGGUUCGAUGGAGGUUCGUGGCUCUGCUUGGAAUCUGUUCAUUUUCAAUAAAGAUGUAACAGAUACGCAUUUAAAAUUAGAGAGCAAAAGAAUAAGUUUGAACUUAAUCUUAUCCAUUUCUUUUGAUUUUUCAAUUAUAAUCAACUUAAUGUGCAACUCAACGUAAUAGCAUUCAAACAAAAAACUGAGCUUUUCGUUCUUCUUAUACCCAAAAUCUUAGCAUUUUAAUUAAAUGUUAGUCGAAUAGCAGAACUAACGCUGGUCGACAAAUUUUAUUCCUUACAGUUUUCAGUUUCACAAUAUUUAAAAUGCAGUUAUUUCUCACAUCAAAUAGCCCCACGUUUUCCCACUCCAUCCAACAAUCCUCAUGUUCCACCCUACUACUUCACAUCUCCCUUCACAAAUCAUCCACAAUGCCCCACUAUACUAAUCACAUGAUAUUAUAAAUUCACAUAAUACACGAGGGGUUAAAACAAGAAUAGCUGAGAGAAGAGUAUUACGUAACAAGUAUUUCUGCAAAAUCAGCAUAGCCUCAAGUCGUGAAAUUUUCUCCCAACAACAACGGUAUGAACUUUAAUGCAUUGUUUGCGCAUUUACGAUUUACAUAAUUGUUGUUUAAAUAUGCUCUUUCUCGAAUAACUUUAUUCCCAAUUUUUAUUCGUAAAGACUGUCUUUUUGGAAUAACAGAUUUGGAAAACUUUUUUUUUAAAUUUAUUAUACGUUUUUGAUUGCAGUUCUGUGGCAAUAUUUCCUAUUGCUUAUGCUUGAAAUUAUGUUUAUAGUCUUUCUAUACGUGACUACUAUGUUGAAAUAGGUAAUACUCAUAUUUAAAUUUAUAGUGAUGAUGAAGAUCUACACCACAUGGUAUAAAUUGAUGAUAAAAUAAAUAACUGAAAAUGCACUUUGGAAUUGGUUUGUCAAAAAUUUAUACGAAUUGUUUGACAUAAGAAGUAUGCUAUGUAAAAAUGAGGGAGAAUUAAAGGUAUGAGUUAUUACUUCUUUAUCUUUAUGUUUUGUGUAUUGCAUAUAUAUGACUCAUCUUAGUUGUUCUUCGUCUAACUCUUCUGCACAUGUUUUCACCUCAAGGUAGUCAAGUAUAAGAAAAGGGGGUUGUUCUACUUAUUGUUUGAGCAAUUUUCUGCUGCAUAAAAUUUGCCUCUAUGGUUUGGUGAAUAAAUAAACCAGCAUAAAAUAGUUAAUGUCGAUUUUGUUUUAACUAAUUCAACUAUUUAAUUUAAUACUCAAACAUCCAAACACGCCACACCAAUUAUAUCACUUAUGGAUGCUGUUUUUAUUGCAAUAUAGGAUGGAUUCAUGGACAUGAAUACACUAAAGAUGAUGUUUACUUUGUCUUAUUUUAGAUAUGGCUGAACAAGGACACAUUCAAAAUACUCCCAGUACGACUUAUCAAAUUCAACUAAGCGGACAACCUAGAAGGGUACGACGCUGUAACAUUUUUUCCUAUAAUAAUUCAGACUCAAAGACUGAAGUUAUCAGGAAAAUCCCAAUGGCGAUACAAAAUACGUUAAGAGAUCGAAGGGCUAAAAGGAGGGAAAGAGAAAAAAGUUUAGAGAGCUUAGGCCUUUAAUAGAUGAACAAAUUGUAAAUUAUCAGGUUACUUGAGAUGCACUAUUUGAUUCUAUAGACAAAAUUAUGCUAUCUCAUUGGGAAGCCUUAAUAAUUUUAGUAGAUUCACUUUGUGAUCCGUUAGGUAGAAUUUUAACUGACAUUUAUCUCGAGGUUUGGUCAAGUGAAAGGUUUUUGGGUUUAUGUUCUGAAAUUUGAAACUGAGCGGGAGAACCGUCUAUACAACUACCUUUAAAUUUUAAACUUAAUAAAACUUUAUUGUUUCUUUGCAGCAUUUUCUGUCAUUUUACUAUAUUUGUUUCUUAAGAGUAUAACAUAAAAUACAAAACAUAAUGGAAUAACACUUAAUUAUUCCUUUAAAUAAGGCAACUUUAACGAGAUACCAAAUGCCUUAAAUAAGAAAAAACAUGGAUAAAAACAUUUAUUUACGCUCUUUACUUGAUUAUAUAUAAUUCUCAUGUAUAGUAAUAUUUUACAAUUUGUUGCGCCUAUUUUCAAACCUAAAUCUUUUUACGAAUAAAUAUUUAUUUAGGUAGU